AGCGCCACUGGACCCUGCGAGCUCGGCCCGCUGUCUUCCUUAUCGCCCACUGCGUCUGCGCAGUUCCAACACCCGGGAGGCGGGGCCUGAACCUGGGGGGCCAGGUCGCUACUCACCAAUAGAAAAGAGGAACCUAGGGCCACGUGCCCGUGCACCCGCCAAUCAAGUUUCCAGCUCCGACAUCAGUCCAAAAACCCGGUCGUGGAUGGACACAGGUGGACGCCAGGGCCACGUGACCUCCCCCAAAGGUGGAGAGCUGCAUUCUGGAUUCUUGCCCGGGUCCUUGCAAUUCCUACUUUGUGCACGGAAGCAGGUGUGUCAGCGCCCGGCCUCCUAAGAGUGGCGCUCAGGCUCAAACCCAGAACCUCACGCAUGGGAGGCACCCCACUCUACCGCUGAGCCGCCUGUCCUGCCUUCAAUUAGAGUCUCUACCAUAAACCUCUAAGGAAAGAACUGCUGUACCUCCUGGCACAAUGCCUGACAUUUAAAACUGCCCAAUAACUACUGGGUAAAUGCACCGAUGGACAGACUAAUGAAUGGACUGACAGGCCAAUUCAUAUGGUGGAGCUGGACUAUUCUUCUGGCCACCACCAGAGGGCAGCACCCAACAACCAAAUGGCCCCACCUUGCAUAGGGCUGGGAGACCAGAACACUUUGGUCCCUUUUCCAUCUCCCACCCGAGUGACUCAGGCAGGAGGGCAGGCCACAGCGGGGAUGCCAGCCCCGUUCGGUUCCCAUGGAGGCCCGAGAGGUGAGGCAGGAAGAAGCGCAGGCGUGGACCAUGCACAUACCCAGCA